rnacentral:rRNA from 1 species
UUCCGGUUGAUCCUGCCAGAGGCUACUGCUAUCGGGGUCCGACUAAGCCAUGCGAGUUGAGAGGGGUAAGCCCUCGGCAUAUUGCUCAGUAACACGCGGAUAACCUGCCCUUGGGUUUGGGAUAACCCCGGGAAACUGGGACUAAUACCGGAUAGAUCAAAGAAACUGGAAUGUUCUCUGAUCGAAAGCUCCGGCGCCCAAGGAUGGGUCUGCGGCCUAUCAGGUAGUAGUGGGUGUAACGUACCUACUAGCCUACGACGGGUAAGGGUUGUGAGAGCAAGAGCCCUGAGAUGGAUUCUGAGACAUGAAUCCAGGCCCUACGGGGUGCAGCAGGCGCGAAAACUUUACACUGCGGGAAACCGCGAUAAGGGGACCCCGAGUGCCAGCACCUAGUGCUGGCUGUCCAGCUGUUCAAAUAACAGUUGUUAGCAAGGGCCGGGCAAGACCGGUGCCAGCCGCCGCGGUAACACCGGCGGCCCGAGUGGUAGCCGUUAUUAUUGGGUUUAAAGGGUCCGUAGCCGGCCUAUUAAGUCUCUUGGGAAAUCUGGCGACUCAAUCGUCAGGCGUUCAAGAGAUACUGGUAGGCUUGGGGCCGGGAGAGGUGGGAGGUACUCCAGGGGUAGGGGUGAAAUCUCGUAAUCCUUGGGGGACCACCGAUGGCGAAGGCAUCCCACCAGAACGGGUCCGACGGUGAGGGACGAAAGCUGGGGGCACGAACCGGAUUAGAUACCCGGGUAGUCCCAGCCGUAAACGAUGCUCGCUAGGUGUCAGGUGCGGUGCGACCGCAUCUGGUGCCGCAGUGAAAACUUGAAGCGAGUCACCUGGGAAGUACGGUCGCAAGGCUGAAACUUAAAGGAAUUGGCGGGGGAGCACUACAACGGGUGGAGCCUGCGGUUCAAUUGGAUUCAACGCCGGA